GGCUGACCUACUCAGCCACUGCCAGCAGCCACGGUCGCCAGGCUGCGCCGCAGAGUCCUCUGCGUCGACCGAACCAGUCCGCCUCGCAUCGUGCUGCGGACGCGCACCCAUCCCGGGUGU
rnacentral:ncRNA from 1 species